rnacentral:lncRNA from 1 species
AAAAACUUUCUCCAUUGACGAAAAAUUUGCCUAAUUUUUUUUUAAAAAUUUGUUUAUUAAAAAAUUGGUACUUCUAUUUAUAAUAAAAAUGUCCACAUAACUCUUCUUACAUUUGAAGUGAGACACUUAUUCAACUAACAACUUCAUUCUAUUUUAUUAAAAAUUCGUGCAAUUCAUAAUAUAAUAUUUUUAUGGAAAAACGGAAUAACAACAAAAGAAUAAAAUAAAAGAAAAAAAAGGAAAAAUAGAAAGAGAAAAAAAACAUCACCAAAACCCAAAAUUAACUCAAAUCAAGUCCCCGCCUUUUUAGUCCUACCCACCCUAAAAUUAAUAAAAUAAAAGAGAAAAAAGAAAACAUAAGGGAAAUAAAACAAGCGAGUGCUAUUGUCGAUAGGGGUGAGAAAAGCAUAAUCGGAUAAUAUAGAUAUUGAUUCGAAUCUGGUCCGAUAUUGAGUAUUAAUACCCAAAUAAUUAGGGUUUCGGGUCGAUAUCGAUAUUAUGAUAAACUGAAAAUCGGGUAUAUUCAAAUACCUAAAUUUUUAUUAUGUUUUUUUAUAUUAUAUACUCUCUUCGUCCACCAAUUCUUAACUCAUUUUGUCAUUUUUG